ensembl:misc_RNA
CUUGCGCUGAGUAAAUGAAGUGGACCUGAGUUGUGGCUGCGAACCCGAGGCUCAGAGCCUACACGCCAAACAAAAUUCCCUCCUCUUGGGGUCGCUCGUCCUAAAGACGCAGGACACGGUGAGG